UUUAUUAUUCCUAUUUCUUUUAUUUAUUUUAUAUACCAAUGCCCUAGCCCCUUUCACUCUCACGACAUUCACAAACUGUCUCUCUCGCUCUCUUGCUUGCCAUAGUCGUAGCUCCAGUGGUAUGAAUCUCUGUCUCUCGGUCUCUCACUUUCUUUAUCAUGCUCUGUUUCUUUGAUCUUCAAUUUCAUUUUCCGACUCAAAAUUUGAUUUUCUAAGUUGAAUUUUCUCGAGAAAGAUGCAGCCUCUAUGAGAUUUGAUCGACGAUGAAACAGAAAUUGUUGAGUGAAAUUAGGUUAAUUGUUUGAUCGAGCAAAGAGAAAAAAACAGAGAGAUGAGAAGCACGAACAACAUCGCUCUAGAUACGAUAAGUGCUGCUGUGACUGCGAUUGCGUCAGCUGGGACUCAAGCUUCAGUUCAGGUAAACAAUUUGAUUCGAAUGUUAACUAUAAUUUACGUUGCUUGUUGUGGUUGAUGAUUUGAUUAUCUCAAUUAGAUACAUGAAUCUCUCGAGUUUCGAUUUCUAAUUCAAAGCUCUGUAUAAUCUGAACAUUUAGGUUCAAGGUCUGCUGAUUAUAUAUAGGUUACGUUGAUCAUUUCACUUUGUUUGAUGUAGUUUUUGGAAAUUAUAUUUGUUUAAUGCUUUUUAAUUUUUUUUAUUUAUUUGUUGUUGUUGUUGUUGCUGCUGCAAGUCAUCCUCAUCAUCUUGAAAUCGAGAAGGCAAAGAAGUUGCUGAAUGAAUUGCACCUGAAGAUGGUGGAGAGGGCUAUGCAACAUACAUCUGCAAUUUCAUCAUCUUCGGUUUCUUGCAGUGAUACUGAUAAGGGACGAAAUUUGGUGGUUAUGGUUCAUUUCUACCCACCUAUCAACGCUCUCCUGUUUGGUCUCGUCCAAUAUCUCCACCAAAAAAUCAUAACUACAGCACGCCCAAAUCCUCAAACAUUUUGCACCUGGAGGGUAGCUGUCAUAACUCUGUAGUUCCAUCUAGUGCAUCUCUGUCAGCGAGACAUGGGCUGUCUUCUACAAAUGCCGCAUUGCUCCAUUCGCUGAGGUCUUCCAAUAAUGAUUUAUCAAAAAGAGACAUAGGCAUGUCAUCAGCACAUUGUGCUGAGGAAUCCAGUUCAAGAUGUGAACUUGCGAAAAACUGUGCUCAACCUUCUGACCAAAAAACACUGAAGGUUCAAAUCAAAGUGGGUUCUGAUAAUUUGUCGAUGCAAAAAAUGCUGAAAUCUACACUGGUCUUGGCCUUGAUAUCUCGCCCUCUUCCUCGUUGAAUGAAAGCCCCACCGGCAGUGAAGGGUUUUCACAUGAACCUUUGGAUGCCCCAGAAGAAUCCCCAACUAGUAUUCUUCAGAUUAUGAAAUCAUUUCCAGUGCAUGGCAAUCUAUUGUUAUACCCUCGUCCGGAUGAUCUGAUUUACAUGAUUGAAAAGGAAAAGCUUAAAGGAGACAUUAAACCUAGACGUGUGAUCAAGAGUAGCCAAGAAAGUUCAAAUGGAUCUGAUUUUGCUAGGGGCAAUGACAAAGUUUUAGGAGGAAAGAAACUUAAGUCAUUUGAGAGAAAUGCCUUUUCAGUGGAAUUGAAGAAUCACAUUGAUAAGGGCACUCAAAACGGCAUUGGUGUUCCGUUGAAGAAAGAAACAGACAUUGACAAAUACUCUGAAGCUUCCACUUCUAUCUAAUUCAUAUUCUGAUGUUGCCAACCGUGACAAGGGUACUGCAAGAGCGGCUAAUAACUCUAUGGUAGCUAAUAAGGUGAAAGAAUAAUCUUUCUUUGAUCUAGCUAAAGUGGAAACCUUGGAGAGAUUACUAAACCAAGAGAUUGGCUUGGCUGAGAAGCCUAAUGGAAAGGCGGUGUUCAAUGUUAAGGUUUGGGAAGAGAAGAGCACAUAUGCCAAUAAUUAUCUGUCUAAAGGUGAAGUGGAGGAUUCCAAAUUGCAGAAGUAUCUAUUCAUCUUUCUGGACAAAAUCUGUGUGAAAUCUUAUCCCACAACAUUGUUGGUUAUACCAUAUAUCAGCAAAAAUAAAGGAUAUUCUGAUAUUAUUUUUUACAUCUUAUGUGAACUGUAUAUUUUCUCUCUUGCUGUAUAGAAAUAGGAAAUAAAUAAUGUAUAUAAAGCCUUAUUGUGUA